rnacentral:rRNA from 1 species
UACGUAGGGUGCAAGCGUUAAUCGGAAUUACUGGGCGUAAAGCGUGCGCAGGCGGUGAUGUAAGACAGGUGUGAAAUCCCCGGGCUUAACCUGGGAAUUGCGCUUGAAACUAGGUUGCUAGAGUGUGGCAGAGGGGGGUGGAAUUCCACGUGUAGCAGUGAAAUGCGUAGAGAUGUGGAGGAACACCGAUGGCGAAGGCAGCCCCCUGGGUCAACACUGACGCUCAUGCACGAAAGCGUGGGGAGCAAACAGG